AAAUCAUCCUAAAAUUUCAAGGCCUAUCCUCUGAGUUCAAUAUCUGGUCCAUUUGUGGUAGACUACCCACCAGCACCAUAUAGGGGAAAGUGACACUAGACUUCUUUGGGACUAUUAAAACUGAAGUUACCUUCUCAUUUUCUCAUAGGAGGGAGGAGAAAAAUUCCCACCCUAUCCUCACAGCUGCCUAAGUGAAUAACCACUCAAUCAAAAAUGGAAUCUGGAGUAAAGAAGUUGUGAAACAAGGCAAACAGAAACGCUUUGCACCAAUCCCAUGACCCAAAAACAUGCCGAUACAAAUGGUUCAAUACAGCAAGAUCCAUAAUAACAAGGGUACUGAGUUCUAUAGGAGACUGAAGAUGAAGUAGUUCACUGAACUUGAAGUUCCAUCAAGUUGGUUGAAGAUGUGGAGUGAAAGAUUAUUAAAAUAUUCAUAAUCAAAGCUUGGAGAGAUAAUGGAAAUAUUUGAGGACAAAAUUAAGAUUUCAAGAUGAAUGAUGGCUAGAAAUAAUCAAAUGCUCUACAGGAGGCAUGGCUGGGAAGCCUCAGAAAACUCAGGAAACUUAACAAUCAUGGCAGAAGGACGAAGGGGAAGCAAAGACAUCUUCACAUGGCAGAGUGGGAGAGAGAGAGUGAAGGCGGAAGUGCUACACACUUUCAAACAACCAGAUCUCAUGAGUACUCACUCACUAUUAUGAGAACAGCAAGGGGGAUAUUCACCCCCAUGAUCCGAUCAACACCCACCAGAUCCUUCCCUCGACAUUGGGAAUUACAAUUCAACAUGAGAUUUGGGUGGUGACAUAGAACCAUACCAUAUCACUAUCUAUCUAUUGAUUUGCAUACUUAAUUUUAAUCAGGUCCUCAUAACCCCAUAAGUAAUAUAGGAAUUAUUUCAUUCUGUAAGUGUAAAUGUAAACUCAGAGAGACAAAAUGAUUUAUUUUGACUUCAUGUCUAGUGGUCAUCAAGGACCCAAAUGUGUUUUUCUAGGAGCAUUGUUCUGGAUGAAUCAAAGCAGCAUCCAGAUAAGAAGUGGACUGAUUUGAUAUUCUGUGUUGAAUGUAUGUAUGUUUUAG
rnacentral:lncRNA from 10 species